CUCUCAUUCCCUUCCACGUGCGUCUCAAGCUCUGUUCGUGGAAGCCACUUCCGUGUCUCUUGUUUUCGCGUUCACUCACCAGCUCAAACCGUGUAAGAAAAACACGUCACUUUUGAAUUGCUGUAAGCCGCGCUGCGUCCAAGGCCCACCUGAAUUUGAAUGUUGCUCCCGCUUGCGUUCUCAGCUUGCCCAGGCGUCCACUUGUCAGCGUUGUGCCCC
rnacentral:lncRNA from 1 species